rnacentral:rRNA from 1 species
UACGUAGGGUGCAAGCGUUGUCCGGAAUUAUUGGGCGUAAAGAGCUUGUAGGCGGUUUGUCGCGUCUGCUGUGAAAUUUCGGGGCUCAACCCCGGACUUGCAGUGGGUACGGGCAGACUAGAGUGUGGUAGGGGGAGACUGGAAUUCCUGGUGUAGCGGUGAAAUGCGCAGAUAUCAGGAGGAACACCGAUGGCGAAGGCAGGUCUCUGGGCCACUACUGACGCUGAGAAGCGAAAGCAUGGGGAGCGAACAGG